rnacentral:rRNA from 1 species
UACGAAGGGGGCUAGCGUUGCUCGGAAUCACUGGGCGUAAAGCGCACGUAGGCGGCUUCUUAAGUCAGGGGUGAAAUCCUGGAGCUCAACUCCAGAACUGCCUUUGAUACUGAGGAGCUUGGAGUCCGGGAGAGGUGAGUGGAACUGCGAGUGUAGAGGUGAAAUUCGUAGAUAUUCGCAAGAACACCAGUGGCGGAAGGCGGCUCACUGGGCCCGGUACUGACGCUGAGGUGCGAAAGCGUGGGGAGCAACAGG